rnacentral:rRNA from 1 species
GAAUUGAAGAGUUUGAUCAUGGCUCAGAUUGAACGCUGGCGGCAGGCUUAACACAUGCAAGUCGAACGGUAGCACAUAGGAGUUUGCUCCUUGGGUGACGAGUGGCGGACGGGUGAGUAAUGCUUGGGAAUCUGGCUUAUGGAGGGGGAUAACUACUGGAAACGGUAGCUAAUACCGCGUAAUGUCUUAGGACUAAAGGGUGGGACCAUUUGGCCACCUGCCAUAAGAUGAGCCCAAGUGGGAUUAGGUAGUUGGUGAGGUAAAGGCUCACCAAGCCCGCGAUCUCUAGCUGGUCUGAGAGGAUGACCAGCCACACUGGAACUGAGACACGGUCCAGACUCCUACGGGAGGCAGCAGUGGGGAAUAUUGCACAAUGGGGGGAACCCUGAUGCAGCCAUGCCGCGUGAAUGAAGAAGGCCUUCGGGUUGUAAAGUUCUUUCGGUGACGAGGAAGGCGAUUGUUUUAAUAGAACAGUCGAUUGACGUUAAUCACAGAAGAAGCACCGGCUAACUCCGUGCCAG